UUUGGUGACCAUUGCAGCAGGGAUACAUCCGGUUACAUCUCGAACCCGGAAGUUAAGUCUGCUUACGCCUACGAUACUUAGUCCAUACUAGGGAAAAUAGGUAGUCGCCAAAC
rnacentral:rRNA from 1 species